CGCUAUCACUCCUACGGGAGGCAGCAGUGGGGAAUAUUGCACAAUGGGGGAAACCCUGAUGCAGCCAUGCCGCGUGUGUGAAGAAGGCCUUCGGGUUGUAAAGCACUUUCAGUAGGGAGGAAGGUAGUGUAGUUAACACCUGCAUUAUUUGACGUUACCUACAGAAGAAGCACCGGCUAACUCCGUGCCAGCAGCCGCGGUAAUACGGAGGGUGCGAGCGUUAAUCGGAAUUACUGGGCGUAAAGCGCAUGCAGGCGGCCUGUUAAGUCAGAUGUGAAAGCCCGGGGCUUAACCUCGGAAUUGCAUUUGAAAACUGGCAGGCUAGAGUCUUGUAGAGGGGGUAGAAUUUCAGGUGUAGCGGUGAAAAUGCGUAGAGAUCUGAAGGAAUACCAGUGGCGAAGGCGGCCCCCUGGACAAAGACUGACGCUCAGAUGCGAAAGCGUGGGGAGCAAACAGGAUUAGAUACCCUGGUAG
rnacentral:rRNA from 1 species